CGCCUCCUCUUUCACCGUCCGUCUCCUCCGCCCGCGUCGCCUUCUUCGGCCCCCUCUGUCGCCGUCCGCCUCCCCCGCCCUCGCCGCCUCCUUUGACGCCAUUCUGGGCCUCCCGUUCACCUCUAUCGUCGCCUCCGUCGCCCGUCCAUCUCCCUCGCCGCGUUCAUCGCCUCCAGCGCCCUCGCGGCCCUCUGCCCCAUCCACCUUCUCUACCUCCAGCGACCUGUGGCGGCUGCGGCGUACGUGCUCGGCGCCUCGGCAAGGGCGGCGGAUCCACGAUGUGCUGCUUGUAUGGCAGUCCGGCGGAGGAGAGGCUGAUGAUGCAACGUCGCCCUCAUCUUGAUGUUGCCGUUGAUUGUUCAUCCCAUCUCUUCGGCUGCUACUGGUUCGAGAACAGAAAUAGUUCCACUCCCUGUGCUACAUCACAUAAGUCAAAUUUCAGAAGAUACUACUAGUUUAUAGUGGUUACGGCCAGCAUGGAACAGUUAAGCCAUGCAGUGGAGCUCCAAUGGUGAGUUUGCCUUUCAUUGUCUUGUUGGAGAUUGCACGUUGGAAUUACUGGCAAAAGUCAUGCUUCUUGCAUUCAAGAGUUGUAUCCUGUUCUGCGAGUAUGAUCUAGCAGCAUGGUAUGGGGCUGAUAUUUUAUAAAGGACAAC